AAACAGCCCUUAGUCAACAUUUUUCCCACGUAUUUGGUCUUCGUGUUGGUGUCAAUUUGGCCUUGGCCAUUGCCUUGCACAACAUUCCAGAGGUUCCAGCUCAUAUUGGAAAGCUAAUCUGACAAGCAGUUUUAUGCUGCAGUUCCAUGUUCUGUACUUCAAACUGUAUGUUUUCUAGCAUUUUUUUCCUGUAAUCCCACUUCUGUAAGGUUAUUGUAUCUUUUAUUUGUUUUUUUUUUUUUUUUUUGGGUGGGUGGGUGG